UACGUAGGGUGCGAGCGUUGUCCGGAAUUAUUGGGCGUAAAGGGCUCGUAGGCGGUCUGUUACGUCGGGAGUGAAAACUCGGGGCUCAACCCCGAGCCUGCUUCCGAUACGGGCAGACUAGAGGUAUGCAGGGGAGAAUGGAAUUCCUGGUGUAGCGGUGAAAUGCGCAGAUAUCAGGAGGAACACCGGUGGCGAAGGCGGUUCUCUGGGCAUUACCUGACGCUGAGGAGCGAAAGUGUGGGGAGCGAACAGG
rnacentral:rRNA from 1 species